rnacentral:rRNA from 1 species
UACGUAGGGGGCAAGCGUUGUCCGGAAUUAUUGGGCGUAAAGAGCGUGUAGGCGGCCAGAUAAGUCCGCUGUGAAAUCUCGAGGCUCAACUUCGAGCUGUCGGUGGAAACUAUCUGGCUAGAGUCCGGAAGAGGAGAAUGGAAUUCCAGGUGUAGCGGUGAAAUGCGUAGAUAUGGGGAGGAACACCGUGGCGAAGGCGGCCACCUGGACGGU